UCUCAGGCCAGCUCUCAGUGAUGGCCAUCGCUCUCCCUCUCGUCUUGCAGCUUUGGGGCACAACCUGAAGACCCUCACAGUCAGUGUCAGCAUCUCCACCUUCUGGUAUUCAUCAGACAGGAGCAACAGCUCAGCCACGUUCAACUCCACUGAGAGGGUCCUGCAGAGCCUGCUGGAUCCUUGUUGAAGAAGAGCAGCCUGGGCCCCUUCUCCUUGAGUGGCAGACUGGUCUCCCUCAGGUCUGAGAAGGAUGGGGCAGCCACCAGUGUGGACGCUGUCUUCACCCACCACCCUGACCCCGUGGUCCACCAUGCCUCUGUGCUGGGAGCUGAGAGUCUCCACCUGUCUGCUCUUCCUCUCAGUGGCUCCAGGCUCUGCACC